AUCCAAGUGCACGGGUUUUACACGCAUCAGUGAGGAGACAUCCGAGAUCGUGUUUUUGCUAGUUGAAAACUACCAAAUUGACCACUUCAGCCGGCCCCUUGGGGAAGGCUGGGAAUUUUUGAAAAAAUACAUGCCCUGACUCCUUUUUGUCAUCGAGGUCAGAGAGGUAUU
rnacentral:snRNA from 12 species